UACGUAGGGCGCAAGCGUUGUCCGGAAUUAUUGGGCGUAAAGAGCUCGUAGGCGGUUUGUCGCGUCUGCUGUGAAAACCUAAGGCUCAACCUUGGGCUUGCAGUGGGUACGGGCAGACUAGAGUGCUGUAGGGGAGACUGGAAUUCCUGGUGUAGCGGUGAAAUGCGCAGAUAUCAGGAGGAACACCGGUGGCGAAGGCGGAUCUCUGGGCCAUUACUGACGCUGAGGAGCGAAAGCGUGGGGAGCGAACAGG
rnacentral:rRNA from 1 species